rnacentral:rRNA from 1 species
AUUGAACGCUGGCGGCAUGCCUUACACAUGCAAGUCGAACGGUAACAGGUCUUCGGAUGCUGACGAGUGGCGAACGGGUGAGUAAUACAUCGGAACGUGCCCAGACGUGGGGGAUAACGGGGCGAAAGCUUUGCUAAUACCGCAUACGAUCUAAGGAUGAAAGCAGGGGACCGCAAGGCCUUGCGCGUUUGGAGCGGCCGAUGGCAGAUUAGGUAGUUGGUGGGAUAAAAGCUUACCAAGCCGACGAUCUGUAGCUGGUCUGAGAGGACGACCAGCCACACUGGGACUGAGACACGGCCCAGACUCCUACGGGAGGCAGCAGUGGGGAAUUUUGGACAAUGGGCGAAAGCCUGAUCCAGCAAUGCCGCGUGCAGGAUGAAGGCCUUCGGGUUGUAAACUGCUUUUGUACGGAACGAAAAGGCUCUGGCUAAUACCUGGGGCACAUGACGGUACCGUAAGAAUAAGCACCGGCUAACUACGUG